CCCCCUAAAAUCAUGUUGUCCCCUGUGUUUUUUUGAAAACUAAAUCAUUCAAAUAAUAUCCAAAUUAACUAAACAGGCGUCCGAUUCUCACAUAUAUGAUAUAUUAUUUAAUAAACUUGCCCCUAAUUUGUCUUUUUAUAUUAUAACUAUAGCAUGUAAUAAAAUUUUGCAAAUUUUAAGAGAAAAAAAAUUUGUCCCCAGGGGUGAUUUCCCUCCUGUUACCACUGGUUUUUUUUUUACCUGUGGAAACGUUUACAAGACCAAAAGUUAUUUUCCCAUUAUGUAUUGUGAAGAGCAUCAUUCCCUGAAUGUAUUAGUACAAAGAAAUAGUUGGAAAGGCGGCCAGGUUUGAAAAUUCAAGCCCAUCCAAGGUAAGAAUUUAUAGAAAAAUACUUAUUGGUGUUCUAUCCUGUUAUAGCCUUUUUUUACACUUUCUGAGAAUAUUUUUAAGUGUGCACCACAACAUUAAGUGUGUUUUUAUAUCAUCUUUUUAAAAGUUAUAUGUCACAGGAAAUACACUUACAUUUAAUGUGAUAAAAAGGACAAAAACUAUCGCGUAAUUCCUUUCUGUUACGUUCUGUCAUGUUACCUGAUCAAAAGUAACAGCAUAACCAUAAUCAGUAACAGGAAGGAUGUUCAAGACAAUUUCACUGAAGAAUCAAACAGUUAAUCUACUAUAUGCCAACCAUUUCAUUUAAUAUAAGUUAUCACCCCCAUAUCAAAUAAAUUUCAAAAUAAUAUACAGUAUAUUGAAUAAAAAAAUAGGUUUUUUGCUUUUGAUAACAGCAGAGAACAUUGUGCAAUUCUAGUAUAGUAGAUA
rnacentral:lncRNA from 1 species